UACGUAGGGUGCAAGCGUUAAUCGGAAUUACUGGGCGUAAGCGUGCGCAGGCGGUUUUGUAAGACUGUCGUGAAAUCCCCGGGCUCCAACCUGGGGAAUGGCGAUGGUGACUGCAAGGCUAGAGUUUGGCAGAGGGGGGUAGAAUUCCACGUGUAGCAGUGAAAUGCGUAGAUAUGUGGAGGAACACCGAUGGCGAAGGCAGCCCCCUGGGUCAAAACUGACGCUCAUGCACGAAAGCGUGGGGAGCAAACAGG
rnacentral:rRNA from 1 species